ACCGGGUUUGGGAUGAGGAGGCCCGGCAACAAGCACUCCCACAGGAUCCGUGAGGUGGAGAAUCUGGAGAAGCCCGUGGUUGAGGCAAAUCACUCGGCCAAUUCUGGAGGUUCGCAUUUGGCUGCUCGUGUACACGACUCAGAUGCCAAGCCUUCCACCUCGGAGGUUAAGCUUGAGCUCGAUGGAGCUU